AAGUUCUUGAACUGUAGUAGCUAAACGGGACUGUGGUAAAGCCCAGAUAACAGGUGUCUAAAGAAGAAAUAAUCUAAUUAAGAUUUAAGGCUAUAAUAAGUAAAAUGAUCCAUUUUAUCUGCUUUCUCAACAGUAACAUGAGUUUAACACUGUUACUUUUGUUAAUGUGUUCGGUACUCCCGGGCUUCAGCAAAGAGACACACAAAGAUGAGGGGAACUACACUAAUAGCGCCCGGGCGCAGGACUUUCAUCUGAAAUUAUUGAGGCAGUUUAGCAAUCUGUUAUCCACAGACAAUGCAGAACAUGAGGUAAGUACUGAAGGUGAUCCAAAUCCAGUUCUGGAAAACUUCACGUUCUUCUUGUGUAACACCAGCAGUAUACCCCCUCUGCACCAGGAGCUUGUAACUAUGCUUGUUCUCCUGCAGCAAGUCAAGCAUGCUAUGCAGCAAGAAUAUGAAAACCCUGUGGCAGGGUUGUCCCGUGUUCUGAGAAAUGCCCAAAUUAAGCCAAAGGUGAACAUCAUGGCAGACCCUACCUAUUCAAAGCCCUUCAGAACAGUCAACCUGGUUUUGGGACUUUUCUUCUUCGUCUUCAUUAUAUUAGUGCUAAUUUAUGACACUGUGAAAAUGUCCAAAAAUGCCAGGAGGAGGGCUGUAGCUGUGGCUGUUGCAAGGAUGAAAAGGAAGCAGGCUGCCCAGAGAACUGAGUCAUCCCACUAUUCUCAGGAUGUCACAUCAUUAUUUGCAGCAUCUAGUGUUUCUGCAGCUGCUCAACAAGACAUCACAGAAGAGUCACUUAUUCCAGGAACGUCAGAUAUAAUAAUGGUGAAGUCACUGAAAGCUAAUGUUGUGGAGUCCCCUACUGGAGUAACUUCAACAGUGCAAGGAAAGAGCGUUCUGAGCCUGAAUAAGUGGGAACCCCUUCCCAGUAUUCCUGAGAGUCUAGCAACAGAAGCUCUACAGUACUCAGCAGAGGAUAUGUACACUUUGACAAACCUCAAGGAAGGUCUCAACUACUAGUCCAUCCAGAACAAAUCACUUCAACAGCAAAGACUCUUGAUUCCCUUCAACAUCAAGGAGAGUGGUCCGGUGUUUUCAAGAUGCCGAUGGAGCUGCCAAAGAGUGAAUUUGCCGCAGAGUUGAUUAAUUCUGUCACCCCUUAUUGUGGCUCCAAUACUGCCUUAGACAAGAAUCAAAAAAAAUAGAAGCAGUGGCCAGCUCUCUAGUCAGAAACACACUGGUUGUGACAGCCCAGAUGAUGCAAGAAAAAAUAAAUUAAGCUCUGUCCAGUUCCUCAAGGGUGCUAUCACUUCAGGAAUCUUUUUAUAUUUACUGCAGUUUCCCUUUUUUAUAACUGCCAAUAUGAAUGUAUAAGCAGCUGUUUAUAACAAUAUAUUUGAUAAAAUUAACUAUCUGUUUAACAGUCUAUUAACUAGACUGUUGAAGUUCUAUUCAGCCCUGUGUAUCUGUGUAAAACUUCCUGACCUUCAGAACCUCAUACAGUACAUUCACUUUAUAGAUAAUAAAUUACAGUAACAUUUGUGUUAAAGCAAAUUUCUUUUAGACGUAGAUUUAUUCACAAGAGGAGAUUGGUUAAUUCAUAGAUUGUAGUUUUAAUUGAAUUUCUAAAAUUUGUGUUUGAUACAUAAAUAUUAGUUCUGUGAAACUUUAACAUACUUUCUUACAGAAUAUUUAUUUAGUGUUAUUUAUAGUUAGGUAUUUGGACUUAAGCUGUUCAAAACAUUGUUCCUGUUUGUUAGAUGUUCCACUACUUUGUGUCAUUGUUUCCAAAAUCUUUUUUUUUCUUUAAGUGAACUUAUGAUAUCCUAGAUAAAGUUGAUACUUGUCAUUUGUUUUCCACUUAUCCUUGGCACUAUUAACAAUCCUGUAAACAGUAGUUCAUACAGUGUUUUGUGUUAUAAACUACAUAUACAGUACCUUGGUAAUCAUCCUGUGGUGUGGAAAAUAAAAUGCUGUGUGUUUUAUGAUGACAGUUAUGAAUAGAUUUUCAGAUAUUAAUUUGGAUAAUGCUUUUAUCCAUAGCAGCUUACAUUUAGAUCAAUUACAUUAUCAAGUUUCAUUAACACAUCUCAGUGAAGUACAGAUCUCUACCAUUACUCCACACUGCUGCCAAAUAACCAAAGGUCCAUCACAGUAACAGAACCAUCAAAGGUUCAUAAGCCAAGCCAACUGUCUUGUGGCAUUCAAAAUUCAAAUUAACUUAUCUUAGUUAAGUUAAUUUCAAUUACUUAGUUCAGACUUUCAAAUACCAUUUUUCUUCAUUUGUCAUUUUUUACUUUAUGUUUAUUAAGGAUUUUAUCACAACAAUGAAGGCAAAAGACAAUAUGAUUCACAAUGACAAAUGGGUCCUCCCUCCCCUCCCUGGUACUGAGUGUAAUCAAUACAUCACGGGCCAUUGGAAGAGGUGUUAGUGGGGCCAGCGGGGGGCGCUCACCCUGCGGUCCAUGUGGGUCCUAAUGCCCCAGUAUAGUGACGGGGACACUAUACUGUAAACUGGCGCCGUCCUUCGGAUGAGAUGUAAAACCGAGGUCCUGACUCUCUGUGGUCAUUAAAAAUCCCAGGGCGCUUCUCGAAAAGAGUAGGGGUGUAACCCCGGUGUCCUGGCCAAUUUCCAAUUGGCCCCUACUAAUCAUGGCCUCCUAAUAAUCCCCCUCUAUGAAUUGGCUACAUUACUCUGCUCUCCUCCCCACUGAUAGCUGAUGUGUGGUGAGCGUUCUGGCGCACUAUGGCUGCCGUCGCAUCAUCCAGGUGGAUGCUGCACAUUGGUGGUGGUGGAGGGGAGUCCCCAUUACCUGUAAAGUGCUUUGAGUGGAGUGUCCAGAAAAGCACUAUAUAAGUGUAAGCAAUUAUUAAUUAUUAUUAUUAUUAUUGGCUGUUUACUGUAAGGAAAUAAAGUAAGUAAGUAAAUAAAAAAGGUAACAAUUAAGAAUACAUAUGUUCAAAUAUAAAAUAGAAAACCAAUAAUCCUACACAUGAUUGUGUAUACAGUGCAGAGCACAUUAUAGAGGGGUAUACAGUAUAUAAUCCUAUGUAGAAUCCCUUUGGAAAUUGGAAAAAUAGGUAAAUGAAUAAAAAAGGAGUUAUGAUUUGGGGACAAGAAAAAAGAAAAGGUUUUAAAUUAUGUACUUUGAUGCAGUUGAGUAUAAUUAAAAGAGUUUACAAAGUCAAGAAAGUUACCCUAAAUUUGAGAAAACUGAGGAUUUUCCAUUCAAUUUGUAAGGUAUUUUUUCACAUAGUAUGUAUGAGAUAUCUGUUUAACCAACAUCAUAACACGUAAGCUAUAGCAGCAGAGUCUCAUCACCCAGCAGAGCAAGCUGAGCAUUUAAAGUGAUGGUUAAUUUGGUCAUUAGAGAAAGUGUCACAGCUAUGUUGUGUUGUUAAGCUUUGAGCAUGAACAAAAUGUGUGGAAGGGUUUCUGUCUCUAUCACACAUCUUGGGCAAUGCUUUGACCAUUUUGAGUUCAUUUUGUGGAGAGAUGCAGUAUGUUCAGAGUAAGAUUGUUAAAUUUAAGCAAGCGAUGUUUAGCAUUAAUAGAAAACGUCAAAGUCCCUGAACAUAUAUUUUCCAACUUUUCGCCUUUAUAUCUAAAGUCCAAACAAAUUCUGUAGAUGAAGCAAAGUCCUUCAUAUCCUUUAUAUUGAAUAGUUUUUUUGUCAUUGGCUGAAGUCAACCUCCCUACUGUGUAUCUACAGUAUGAAAUGUUUGACUAGAAGAUAUCUCUAAAAAAUAGUAUUGGGCUGGGAAAGUUGGCAGCUAGCUGUUGAAAAAGCAGAAGAACCUUAUCAUUAUAUACAGUAGGUGUCAAAAAUUUGUGAUCCCUUUGUUAUAUCAGAAUUGUGUCAAACCAUGUUUAAGAGCAGGUAGAAAGGGGUGAUUAUGAAGAGGUGUUAGAUCAUGCAGAUUGGAGUCCCCCAAUCGCUUAUGUAUUUAUAAAGUAUUUUUUGUAAGGCUGUUGUGCUUUUUAGUAGAUGUACAGUAUGAGUAGAGAUAGAGUCACAUCAUCCAGGUGGGGCUGCACGUUGGUGGUGGUGGAGGGGAGUCCCCAUUACCUGUAAAGCGCUUUGAGUGGAGUGUCCAGAAAAGCGCUAUAUAAGUGUAAGCAAUUAUUAAUUAUUAUCAUUUUUAUUAAUGUAUAGAAGUGAGACCAAUGAAAGAAAAGGAAACCUCAAUAAAAGCUUUUUGCAAGAAGGGUAGGUAACCCUUUUCCUAGCAUUAAAAAUAAAUACAAAGUAUUAGACAGGUGUACGAUGUAUAGGUAACACAGAGAAGCAGGGAGAAACGGGUAGGAAUGUGUACAAAUGCCAACUGUAAUUGUUCAAGAGAGAUAAUUUCACCUGGUGUUAAGAUAAAAAUUCAUAACAAAAUACAAAAAUAAAAUCCUAUUCUGUUUUGGAAAUCAUGUAUAUUUGUAUUAAUAUUCAAUUAAUAAACUGUGUUCUUCUAUAUUCAUGUUAUGAAGCGAAAACUGAACUGUUUCUUAAAAGAAUCCAG
rnacentral:lncRNA from 1 species